UACGUAGGGGGCAAGCGUUGUCCGGAUUUAUUGGGCGUAAAGAGCGUGUAGGCGGCCUGGAAGGUCAGCUGUGAAAACUCGAGGCUCAACCUCGAGACGUCGGUUGAAACCACCUGGCUAGAGUCCGGAAGAGGAGAAUGGAAUUCCCGGUGUAGCGGUGAAAUGCGCAGAUAUCAGGAGGAACACCGGUGGCGAAGGCGGGUCUCUGGGCCGAUACUGACGCUGAGGAGCGAAAGCGUGGGGAGCGAACAGG
rnacentral:rRNA from 1 species